ACAAACCACCACCUGCUGAUUUCUCUAGGCACACCUGAAAGUUCUAUAUCUGUCCAUCGACGGAUGUGUGACUUGAGGUGUGACUGCUGUAACGUUUAUAACUCGGUUGACCUUGACGGCGACGUGCAACCCAUAAAUGGAAGAAUGGUUUCGCCUUUAUUUUGCUCAACCAAGACUUUGCGGCCGCUGUUGAAGACCAAAAGACUGGCACAACCCACACGCAUGGAGGAAUAAGGAAAGAAAAAAAAAACUCCUGACUCUCCUUCGCCUCCAGUUCUUCCAGCGACUUCAUACGGAACAGUUGAUUUUUCCCAUUUUUGUUAAUUUUUGUGUUCUCGUAUCACAUCCAGUUCGUCGUUACCCAUUAGUGUUCUCCUUAUUGAUUGGCUAAUUAAUUACAUUCGAAAGGCGUACAUUCCGUGUUUCGGGUAUAUCCUAUCCAUCGUUGGAUAUGGCCCGUUGCUCCUGGUUGAUAUGCAGCAGUCUUAUUUUCCUCUUUUCUUCAGCUGCUGUUGCGUUAGGUAACUACAUUUCUCUAGCUGACAAGCGACAAAAGUCGACAAUUUGUAUCCGUUCUGUUUCUUUUCUGCGGAACAGAAUCGCCGUCUAAUGGCACGGCAAGUGCGGCUGGAAACGUGACGGAGAGAGAUGGACGGACGUACGACGUUCAUCCACCUGCGCCAGGCUCCGUCAAUGAAAGGCUGGAAGUUCAGUCGCUCUCUCCGCGUCCUAAAUCACUUGGAACUGGUACGUGGAAAGCCAUUAAAAUCUGGAACGAUCCGAUAGGUGCAUCUACAGAAAAACGAGCCUCAUCACCUGAACGAGUUAUUGCUUCUUCAGCGAGGCACACAGCAGAUUCAUCCAUCUUGAUAUUCUUCAUCUAUCCCAUUAUGCGACUAGUUGACCUUAGCACUUCAUGCAACUAGUUGAAUAAGCUUAUUACUGCAUGAACUUUAAAGUGAUAUCUAAUUACCUAAUGCAUGUUUUCAUAUUUUAUAUACAUAACAGAUAUGUCAUAUUGUACAUAAGACGUUGCUAAAUUGGGGAAGACAUAUGUUAUAAAACGAUUGCUUAUCAAACUCACUCAAGUGUGUCCAUCUGACGAACCCCUCUCUUUGAAGCUUGGCAGCAGAUGUUUGGCCCCCUUGGUAAUGAGGAUCCUACACCAGCAUGAAAACAUAUGAAGUAUAAUACAAACCUUGCGCUGUAUGCAUAAAAAUCUUGAUAUCUUCUUCAUACCAACACCAGCAACCACCGGUUAUCGUCAACAGAACAGGUGCCCAAAACACCUUUCGACGAAGCGUCUUUGUCACCUCCCAUCAUAAUUGGCGGGGCGGAUGAUGAUUUUGCAAAGUGUUCUUCCAGUUUCGGAAAAAUGCUUGUCAUUACACCAGAAGGACAAUGAAGGAUUUUACAAGGAACAUCAAAAAGCUUGUCAAUUACUAAGCAAACCUGUAUAGUUAAUAAAAAGCUAAAAAUUUUACACAAAGAUCCCAAAAGUUUUACGUAAAACCUCAAAACUUCCAAUCCAUCCUCUUGAUUUUAUAAAAGAUAGUUCCUUGUCUCCAAUUUCAACUAAUGUUUCUUGAAUUUUCAUGAGAGUUGGAACUUGUCCAACUUUACCUUGCUGAAGUGAAAGGUGGGAGGCAAUAGUUUGCAGUGUCCUAUAACCACAGCCCCAUCCCUGUAACGGGGUCAACGAAUAUUCAAAAGUUCUUUGCUCCCACGCCGUGUAAUAAUAACUCACCACGUCAUUGUAACCAUCACACUUGUAAUGAUAAUACACAUAACCGUUGGUGA